GAUGAACGCUAGCUACAGGCUUAACACAUGCAAGUCGAGGGGAAACGGCAUUAAGUGCUUGCACUUUUUGGACGUCGACCGGCGCACGGGUGAGUAACGCGUAUCCAACCUUCCCAUGACUAAGGGAUAACCUGCCGAAAGGCAGACUAAUACCUUAUGGUCUUCACUAACGGCAUCAGAUGUGAAGUAAAGAUUUAUCGGUUAUGGAUGGGGAUGCGUCUGAUUAGCUUGUUGGCGGGGUAACGGCCCACCAAGGCAACGAUCAGUAGGGGUUCUGAGAGGAAGGUCCCCCACAUUGGAACUGAGACACGGUCCAAACUCCUACGGGAGGCAGCAGUGAGGAAUAUUGGUCAAUGGGCGAGAGCCUGAACCAGCCAAGUAGCGUGCAGGAUGACGGCCCUAUGGGUUGUAAACUGCUUUUGUAUGGGGAUAAAGUCAAUCACGUGUGAUUGUUUGCAGGUACCAUACGAAUAAGGACCGGCUAAUUCCGUGCCAGCAGCCGCGGUAAUACGGAAGGUCCGGGCGUUAUCCGGAUUUAUUGGGUUUAAAGGGAGCGUAGGCUGGAGAUUAAGUGUGUUGUGAAAUGUAGACGCUCAACGUCUGACUUGCAGCGCAUACUGGUUUCCUUGAGUACGCACAACGUUGGCGGAAUUCGUCGUGUAGCGGUGAAAUGCUUAGAUAUGACGAAGAACUCCGAUUGCGAAGGCAGCUGACGGGAGCGCAACUGACGCUGAAGCUCGAAGGUGCGGGUAUCGAACAGG
rnacentral:rRNA from 1 species